rnacentral:rRNA from 1 species
AUGGUGUCCUUUGAGAUGAAUGACCUUAAGAAGAUAGGGCUAGGCCUGACAGGCUUUGGAGUAUUCUUCUCCUUCCUGGGAAUCGUUUUCUUCUUUGACAAGGGGCUUAUUGCUAUGGGCAAUAUACUCUUCCUGUCAGGUUUGGGUUUGACAAUUGGUCUGAAAUCAACUAUGCAGUUCUUCACAAAGCCUAAGAAUUACAAGGGUACCAUCUCAUUUGGCGCAGGCUUUUUCCUGGUUCUCAUUGGAUGGCCUUUCUUUGGCAUGCUCUUAGAGGCAUAUGGUUUUAUCGUACUCUUCAGUGGGUUCUGGCCAACUCUCGCAGUUUUCCUGCAAAGGAUUCCUAUCCUUGGCUGGAUUUUUCAACAACCAUUUGUCACUUCGUUCCUUGACCGUUACAGAGGGAAACGAGUGCCGGUGUAG